UAGCAGGGGGGGCAAGCGUUGUUCGGAAUUACUGGGCGUAAAGGGUUCGUAGGUGGCCACUUAAGUCAGACGUGAAAUCCCUCAGCUUAACUGGGGAACUGCGUCUGAUACUGGGUGGCUUGAGUGCAGGAGAGGGAUGCGGAAUUCCAGGUGUAGCGGUGAAAUGCGUAGAUAUCUGGAGGAACACCGGUGGCGAAGGCGGCCUUCUGGACAGCAACUGACGCUGAGACGCGAAAGCGUGGGGAGCAAACAGG
rnacentral:rRNA from 1 species